CAUACCUUUUUUUUAAGGGAUAGGGUCGGUAUCGGCCGGAUUUUACACAAGUGUUGCAUGGCUGUCGUCAGCUCGUGUCGUGAGAUGUUGGGUUAAGUCCCGCAACGAGCGCAACCCUCAUCCUUAGUUGCUAUCAGGUAAUGCUGAGUACUUUAAGGAAACUGCCAGUGAUAAGCUGGAGGAAGGUGGGGAUGAUGUCAAGUCAUCAUGGCCUUUAUGGAGUGGGCUACACACGUGCUACAAUGGUGUCUACAAUGGGCUGCAAGGUGCGCAAGCCUAAGCUAAUCCCUAAAAGACAUCUCAGUUCGGAUUGUACUCUGCAACUCGAGUACAUGAAGUUGGAAUCGCUAGUAAUCGUGGAUCAGCAUGCCACGGUGAAUACGUUCUCGGGUCUUGUACACACUGCCCGUCACCGGCCAUGGGAAUUGGUUCCGCCCGAAACCU
rnacentral:rRNA from 1 species